rnacentral:rRNA from 1 species
UCAGGCCUAACACAUGCAAGUCGAACGGUAACGCGGGGCAACCUGGCGAAGAGUGGCGAACGGGUGAGUAAUGCAUCGGAACGUGCCCAGUAGUGGGGGAUAGCCCGGCGAAAGCCGGAUUAAUACCGCAUACGACCUACGGGUGAAAGGGGGGGAUCGCAAGACCUCUCGCUAUUGGAGCGGCCGAUGUCAGAUUAGGUAGUUGGUGGGGUAAAGGCCUACCAAGCCUACGAUCUGUAGCUGGUCUGAGAGGACGACCAGCCACACUGGGAGGGGGACACGGCCCAGACUCCUACGGGAGGCAGCAGUGGGGAAUUUUGGACAAUGGGC